rnacentral:misc_RNA from 1 species
GUUAACAUCGCAAUGUACAAAGUUGUCCUGUUCACGGAUGAUGAUGAACUAGCUGUUGUGCCAUCAAAUUGGCUGGAUGGCAAAGGUUGUUGUCUUUGGCCGCCCUUCAAGUCCAGCACAAAAUUGACAAAGGCAGUUAUUAAUCAGGAAAAGUCCUCUGAGACAUGGAGGUCUUAUCAAAUCUGGCUGCUUCCUGGUGGUGAAUCAGACAAUUACGAGCGCGCUCGUGAGAAGCUGCGUUUGGCGGAGGACACGUCAGACCUGCAAACUGCAGAAUCUGAGGAGGAAGAGGAAAGUCUCCGAUAUUCCAAAAGGAAGAAGAGUGUGUUCAUUAUGUGUGACCCUGACCUAAUGGAAGUCAAAAGAUUUUGUGAAGAAGGAGAGAUACACUUUAAUGAAGGCAAUAUAAAGAAAGCCAUAGAGUCUUUUCAAAAGGCUCUGGGAAAAGCGAAAUCGACGGAAGAUAGACACUUGGAAAACGUGUGCAGUUAUAACCUGGCGUCUGUGCACGCCGCGAACGGAGACAAACGAAAGUAUGAGCAGAACCUAAAAGACCUGUCAAACCAGUUUAUUAAAGACAACUUGCCAGAAGGGGAAAGAAGCAUGACUUACCUACAGGCAGUUGCAGACAGAUCGCCCUGGCAGUAUAAACAGGCUUUAGAGGUUACCAACGAUAGCAAAAAACAGAUUUAUCUUCUUAAACAGCUUGUAAAACAGUGCAAGGAUAAGCAAGACAAAGACAAGCAGAUCGAGUACCUGGAGCGACUUCAAACUGUAUAUGAAGUCCAACGGGAAGACAUCAGAUGGCUCGAGGUAGCAUGUCAACGGGCAAGACUUCUCUACCGGGAAAAAACCACGGAGGCUUUACUCGAGGUCCUGAAGAAAGUGGAAAAGAAACUUGGUGAGAUCUUACAAGUACCAUCACACCAUACCUCUGUUGCAGGUGAAUACGACACCGAGUCACUAAAAACAAAUUCGGUGCCAAUAUGGAAUGAGGUGGGAUUGAUGUACACGCUGUUGAAAAAAGAGGACAAGGCUUUGCAAUGCUUCGAGAACGGACUAAAACUGAUCCACGACAAGAACACAGCCUCCAUACUGAAAACUGCUGUUUUGAAACAAAACAUUGGUGCGGUACAAUACAUGAAACAUGAAUUUGCGCUUGCCAAGAAAUCCGACGAAGAAGCCAUUAAACAAUAUGAUGAAUACGUCGCGGAAAGAAGAAAAAGUACAUCGAACGGUAAAAGGACGCAGAAUAGGGGGACACAGGUUUAUCAUUACGAUGACGAGAGGAUGACGUACUGGCAGCUGAAAGAAGACAACGGAGAAGGACGGAUCUACGGUAGAUGAAGAAGCCGCGGCAUGCGCUGCCCGUAGCUACAUCAACCUGGGCGAGGUCCAGGCCAAGCUGGGAAGAACAAUGGGUGCCUCUGAAGCUUACUCACAGGCGAAAGACUUGGCACGCAAAGCAGGGGACAGGCAUACCGUGAUGCAGGCAUGUGAAGCACUUGCAAGUGUUGCCAUGAAAAACGCUGACAUAC